rnacentral:rRNA from 1 species
UACAUGGGGUGCAAACGUUGUUCGGAAUUACUGGGCGUAAAGCGUGUGUAGGCGGCUUUGCAAGUCGGAUGUGAAAGCCCCGGGCUCAACCCGGGAAGUGCACUCGAUACUGCAGGGCUAGAGUGUGGGAGAGGUUGGUGGAAUUCUCGGUGUAGAGGUGAAAUUCGUAGAUAUCGAGAGGAACACCGGCGGCGAAGGCGGCCAACUGGACCACUACUGACGCUGAGACACGAAAGCGUGGGGAGCAAACAGG